rnacentral:rRNA from 1 species
CCCUUAGAUGUCCUGGGCCGCACGCGCGCUACACUGAUGCAUUCAACGAGUCCAACCUUGACCGAGAGGUCCGGGUAAUCUUUGAAACUGCAUCGUGAUGGAGCUAGAUUAUUGCAAUUAUUAAUCUUCAACGAGGAAUGCCUAGUAAGCGUGAUUCAUCAAAUCGCGUUGAUUACGUCCCUGCCCUUUGUACACACCGCCCGUCGCUCCUACCGAUUGAGUGUGUUGGUGAGGAGUUUGGAUUGGCCUCGGAAGGUGGUUCGCCACCGUCCGUAGCUGAGAAGUUCUCCAAACCGCCCCACUUAGAGGAAGGAGAAGUCGUAACA